rnacentral:rRNA from 1 species
AGAGUGAACGCUGGCGGUAGGCCUAACACAUGCAAGUCGAACGGCAGCACGGUAAGAGCUUGCUCUUAUGGGUGGCGAGUGGCGGACGGGUGAGGAAUACAUCGGAAUCUACCUUUUGGUGGGGGAUAACGUAGGGAAACUUACGCUAAUACCGCAUACGCCCUUCGGGGGAAAGCCGGGGACCAGCAAUGGCCUGGCGCUGAUAGAUGAGCCGAUGUCGGAUUAGCUAGUUGGUGAGGUAAUGGCUCACCAAGGCGACGAUCCGUAGC